rnacentral:rRNA from 1 species
GACGUAGAAGACUAGUGUUAUUCAUCUUUAAUAGGUUUAAAGGGUACCUAGACGGUGUAAUUAGUCUUAGAUAAGAAACGGUUAUACUAGAGUUAUAUAUGAGGAGGGGAGUAUUUAUGGAGUAGAGUUGAAAUUCCGUCAUACCAUAACGACUGAUGACGGCGAAAGCAACCUUUUAUCUAAUAACUGACGUUGAGGGACGAAGGCUCGGGUAACGAACAGG